AGAAUAUCUUUACAGUUUGCAAACAUUUUACUUCUCUUUACUGGUGUUCAGAUGAUUCUGUUGUUAAGAUACAUGUAAGUUGAGAAUUCCUUUAAGUGUAUGUGGUUUAAAAUUUUGAUAUAAAGUUAUGAUAUAUGAAUAAUGAUAAAUUGUUAUAGGUUAAGCUUUUAACCAGUAAACAAUGAUUUCUACCAAUAAAUUAUCUUUAAGUGCAAAUUGCCGACAUUGUAAGCACUUUAAAAUUAAAUGAAGCAAAUUUAAACAAAUGUUUAUAAAACUAGAUUGACAUAAUCUGUAAUUUAUAGUAAAAAAUUAUACUGCUAUUUUUAUAUGUUAUAUAUUGUCACUAACGGAAUUAAGGAAAGCAAAUAUUUGAGUUUGCAGAUUUGUUUUUUUAUUUAUUAUAUAAAUUAAAAUUUGAGGCAUACUGUUGCUUAUCAUUAUAUAACAUGAGUGCCUGGUAUUGUACAUUUUAUUCGUUGAGUAACAUAAUGUACUAACUUUGUAAAAAAAUGGGGGUGCAAGAACAAAUCACCCUAAUACCAAUAUGCUAUUUCAAGUCAGAGGCAAAACUGGAAAAAGAAACUGGAAUUUUCAGACUCCUAGUCAAUAUGCAGUCCACUAAAUCAUUUGAAAUGCUUGUGACUUGCUAAUAGAAUCUUGAUCUCAUAGCCUUAUUCAUUUUGCUCACUGAAUUCCAUAGUGUUAUCUCAAAAAUUUCAUUUUUAAAUAUAAAAAGAAAACAAGUACAACGCAGAAUUAGAAAUUAUAACUCCUCUUGUGAAGUUCACUUUCUCUAAGUGUGCUUAAGCUUGAUCUCCAUAAAUUAUUAGUAAGCUGCAGUAAGUGUAACAUAUUUUUCAGACUAGAAAGGAAUUAGAAAGAUCACCUAAUUUAGUGUCUGUCGGUCUUGAAUAAUGUGUGGACUUGUGUUCCCAGAAAAAUGUCAGGUCUCAAGAAUACAUGUGUGAAUUUCAGUUUGAGGACCAUCGUAUCACGAGUUAAACAAAGUCAUUGCAAAAAGCUAACACGAACAAGAUCAUAACCGCUGUGUUAAGACCAGAUCCUGAAAUUACUUGAUAAUAAUUGGUGGUAAAAGUUGUGAAUGAGAUUAUCCAAAAUAUAAUUAUAUUUGUAUCAUAACAUGAAGACAACAAGACACCUUGUAACCCUCUCAGACUCCCAAGAAUAUGCCCAUAGGUGUCUGCAGUCUACAGUCUGAGAAAUCAUGACCUCAUCUGACCCUAUCCCUUUCACACACUCGUGUUUGUCAUCCAGAGUGCAUUUCACUUACCCAGUUUAAAAAGAGAGUGGAAGGUCUGGAGCUAGGACAGGAGUCUGGAGCAAAUGUUGAGUGUGUGCAUAUGCACUGUUUAUUCAAGGUUUCCCCGAAUCCCAGGAGGAAGAUAGAAGUUUUAAAUUUAUUAUAAAAUGUUCUGUUUUCCAUGUUAAAAUCAUUCAACCAACCAACCAACCACAAAAUGAAUUAAGGCAAUGAUGUAGAGGGGUCUGCAUUUGAUGUUUUGGGGAAUUAGUAUUUAGAUUUAUUACUAUGAGGAUGAAUUUGAAAAUACAGGUGUUUUUGCUUAUUCACAUUUUAUUUGCACAAAUGGAAGGUAUGGAAAAUGAAUUUUAAUAAAAUAUAUCAACAUAGUAUCCCCAAAUGUUUGCCAAUUGUGGCUUUUAUGUAUUGAUAAGAGAGGGGGAAUAAAGACACCUGGAGAGGUUUUGUUGUUGUGGUAAUAAUUUGCAUAUAAUUUGCAUGUCUGAAUGAUAAAAUCUACUUUUCCGUAAUUGUUUCACGCACAUAUGCAGCUAAAUGCAGUGUACUAUAUUGAGCAUCUUUUUUUAUGGGAGGCCUCGUUCCCUGUUACAAGUGAAACCUACAUCCUGUUACCAGGGCCUUGGAUGAUUUAAACUGAAAUUACUUAAGUGUGACAUGCACUUACUUUCACCACUUGGAAUGAUUCAUAUUUCCAUAUUUCUUUUUGUCGUAUAAACUACAAUGUAAGGUUAAAAAAAAGACAAAGCAGGGUUAAGAUAUUGAAAGCCAAUUUUCUGGGACAGCAGGGAAAAGGUACACAGAGAACUUUUCAUUGUUGUCUUGGAAAACAAGUCUGAAACUAUGGAUGAGAAUGAUCUAUAAAUUUUGAGCACUAUUGAUUAAAAUACUGAGUUAUUCUCAUUGUUUUAUCAACGAAUGUAAAUUUUAUGUAAAAGUGAGCACACACACACACACACACACACACACACACACACAUCUGCUCCACAAGCACUAGUUUGUGGAAGAUCUCCGGUACUUCAAAAGGUCAUGGUUAAUCUUAUACAAAAUUGCUCUUGAUAUUAUAGUAUUUUCAGAGAAUGAGGAUUAACAAUAAAACUACUGUUUUUAAAUAUGUUCAAAUCUGAGAGCACCAUUUUGUUUCCCUUAAAUUUUGAAUUAUUACCCAUAUUAAAAAUAAAAAAAUAUUGAAGGCAGUACAGCACUUUAGAAUAUUCUUUUAAGUGUAUGGUUGGUAUUUUUAGAUAGAAAAAUUAGAUCAUACUAUACAAAAUUGAAUAUCAACAGAACGUUUUUUUCUGCUAGGUAUAGGAAGUAUAUUGGUGGCAUUACUAUUAAGGGUUUUUUGUUGUUCUACAGAUAAAAUAUGAAAAGAAUGAAUAUGAAAUGUAUUCAUACUUUAUUUACAUAACUUUUCAAUUUACGGCAGAUGAUCUUCCAUCAUACAAGGAAUUCAUUGUCCACAUCUUAAGUUUGUUCGUGCCUGUUGCCUCUUUUUCAUAAAGAAAAUUUUAUUUUAUUAAAAAAGUAUUCAUUGUUAACAGCCUUAGUAUGAAGUAAUGUUAAACUCACAGAAGUGACUAAACAUAACAUUUUUAGAACAUGUUUGUCAAUAGCUUCUUCGUGAAAUUUAUAUGAAUGCUUAUGGAAAUCAAAACCAAUGCAUCGAAUCUAAGAACUGCUUUGCAUUCCUAUUGGAUUUAAUUUGGAUGUUAACUAAGAGGCAGAACAAACUGAGGUCUGGUGCAUUUGGCUUCCCCGCUGGGGAAGAUUUCUUGGUCCAUCAUCCAAAGCUUCCCUGUCUCUUCCCAUCUAAUUUUACAUUCCCAUCUGUUCUCACUUUGAGGGUGAGGGAACUUUUUCCUUCUUUCAUUUGACACAUACUGAAACUUGGAGAUGUGCUACUUUUAGGGAGGUAUGCAUUCCAUUGUGCACCCUGAUUUGUAGAAAAGCACAAAGACAACAGUUUAGGUGGUUCAUUGACCUCACAGUGUAGUUUGAGCAAAGAUUUCAUUGUUUCAGAGAAUUAUAUAAAUUAAUUAUGUGUGAUGUUUGUAUUCCUCAGCUUCAUGUAACCCCAGGUUAAAAAAAAAAAAUCAUUCCUUUGCAAAAAGAAAUGUGUUAACCUUAUCCACUUUAAUAUUCCUCUAAUUAAUUUAUAUUAUAUGCUCUAGAAUGCAAUGUUCAAAAUAGGCAUUAUUUAUUUAAAUAUUAAGGCCAAGUAAUUUAUGGUAUUUGAGUAGCUUUAAAUAGUAUAAUUUCUUUAGCCUUGUAGAAACCAACCUUUAUUAUUAAUUUCUAACACAUUCCCAUCAUGAUGAAAUAAAUCUUGACUCUGAUAGGCUUGUGAUAAUUUUUUUCUUCUGGAUUCAAUACUUAAUAUGGGCGCCAAAAAUUUUAGGGAUUGGGGUUGGCUUAAAGGUUUGAAUUUUUUUUUUUUUUUAACACAUGGAAGCAAUAAGUCUGCAAUAAAGAGUCCAAUUGGAGAGGAUGGUAAGUUUCCAUACCAUUGUUCCAUCCUUUCUGUGCGGUCUCUUUUCCUAGAAUAAGAACUCAGAAAUCAUGCAUACUGACAUAUAUUUUUAAGGUAAUCAUAUUCUAAUAGUUUGAGAGGAUUUUUAUAGGGUUUACACAAAUCACUGUGUAAACGGAAACUUUCAUGAUUUCAAAUAAAGGAAUUUUUCUUUUCUUACUGUUUCAUGCUAGAAAGGAUUAUACAGAAGGAUUUUUUAAAAUAAACUUGUUAUUACUACCAAAUUUAUGAACACUCUGUUUAAAAACAUCAAUCUGAAGAGGGAAAAACUCCUAAAUGGUCUUGAGUUUUUAUCAUUGUGGAAAAUGUUAUAUUAAAAAUUAUGAUGUUACAAAGUAAGAGUUAUCAGAGAAAGCUGUCAGAGUAGUAAUUUGAUGAAUAGUUUAUUGCAAUUUUAUAAUCUUAAUUUUUUAAUUUAUAUUUUUAACCAAUGAUGCAUUUGCCAACAACAACGGAUAUAACAUCCAGGAGAAAUGUACUUCUGCAUUAAAAUCUAUUUAGAUGGAGCCAGAGCAUCAGAAAAGCAGCUUAACAUAGAGUAUUCAGAUAUAGGAUGGCCUUCUUUAACAUGGAACUUUGCCUGGAAGCCUGUUCAGUGUUCAGCAAACAGUUUCUAUGGCCAUAGAUAUGAACCAAAGACUAAAUGUUUCCAGGGAUACAUCACGGCCGGGGCCACUGCUUCACUAUUUGUAGUUAUAACCAGGUUACAUGUGGCGGUCCUCCUCCUUCCCCUGAUCAUGCCAGUGUCUCUUUCUCCUUUGCUCAGUAGUAUAAAUGUGGCCAAGGCUUCAUCUUUAGCCCUCCUCUCCCUAUUCUUUCUUGGGCAGUCCCAACCUUUGGGUGGCUAUUCUUGAAACUUUCAAAAAUGAAAUCCUUCAGGACUUAUUCUGCCUUUUGAGGGUUAGACUAAAAAUUUCAACUUCAUGCUCGUUUUGCUAGUGUUAAGAAAUUUGUAUGAUAAAAUGGUGUAUGUGUAAGGAUUUUUAACAUGAGACUGAGAAAAGGUGGGCAUUAGCACAUGGAUAUCCUCCAGUUUCUGGAAAUCAGCUUAUCUCAAAAUGAACUCUUAUUUUUCCUCAACUCUUUCGGGACCUUUUAAAUUGUCUUGUUAUUUAUCUCUGCCCCUCAGCCUCUCACAUCUUAUCAGAUUACUAUUUACUGUUUUCUUAAAACACAUCAAAUUUUGUGCAUCCUCUGUUUGAACACCUCCAAUAGGUCUUCUUGGGCUAUAGAAGUAAGAUCUUUAUGUUGACACUGAAGAUCUUCAUCUGCCCAAACCAAUGUUUCCAGUAAUAUCUCUCACAUCUUUAUGUGACUCCAAUGUACUGUCCUACUGGCCACUUCCUGAAUCAUAAUUCUUGCAACCACACUUUAUUGAGUGCUUUGGGCACAGCCUUAAUUUGGGCAUUUCAUUCAAGAAAUGGAGUUCUUGUUUUGUGACACAAAUUUAGUAGCAAAAAUAGAUGCUAAACAGAUAGUUAUUCAAAGGUGCAUGAUUAGAUAGAGAAAUAUUCUGAGGACUAUGGGAUUAUAAAAAAUUUACUCACCCAACCCAUAUUCAAGCUGAGUCAACUCUUGGAGGAUGAGUAGGACCCUGUGAGUGAAGGUCAGUGGUGGUUCUAGGCAGAAGGAAUACGGAGGCAGGAAAAAUAUUUGAUUUUCUAGCAAUUUCAGUGGUUUGGUUAUGGUUGAAGAGUAGUAUAUGAGGCUAUUGCACCAGGUAAGGAUCAAGAAGUUGGUAUGGUUUAGACCCUAAAGAAUCUUAUAUGUAAUACUAAGGAAUUUGUUUUUGCAAGGAGGAAAAAGAUGACAGAGUAGAGCCAGCUCCCAUAGAUAAUAAAUUUCAGUUCUCCUAUAUAAUUUAUUUAAAACACACCUCACAAAUUUCCUGGCAAGUAGGAAAUACAGCUCUUCCUUAACUUUAUGGGGUUAUGUCCCAAUAAACGCACUGUAAGCUGAAAAUAUUGUAACUGAAAAAUGCAUUUAAUAUACCUAACCUGCUGAACAUCAUAGCUUAGCCUAGCCUAACUUAAAUAUGCUCAGAACACUUAUAUUAGUCUGCAGCUGGGCAUGAUCAUCACACACACACACACAGUCGAUUUUGUAACAAAGUAUUCAAUAUCUCAUGUAACUAACUUAUUGAGUACUGUGCUGAAAGUGCAAACUAGAAUGUUUCUAAGUGUAUGGGUUGUUCCCCUUCGUGAUUCCUGGCCAACUGGGAGCUGCAGCUCACAGCCCUGCCCAGCAUCAGGAGGAAUAUUGUACCACUAGCCCAGAAAAAUAUCACAGUCCAAAAUUCGAAGUAUAGUUUCUAUUGAAGGUGUAUCACUUUCACACCAUUCAUAAAGUUGAAAAAGUGCAAAUACAACCAUGGUAAGUUGGGGACCAUCUGUAGUAGUAAAAUGGGAUCGCUUCUCGGCCUUUUGGCUAAGAUCAAGUGUAGUAGUAAAAUGGUGGUCACAAUUACUUUCAUUAUUUAAUGUAAAAGGGCAUAAUAGGAUUUUAAGCAGGAAUUAACUUAGAAGGAUUUGCAAUUUAGAAAGGAAAGACUCUUUGGCACUUGUGUUGAGGACGUAUGGUGAGGGCUGAGACAGGAAGUCACAGAGAUUAACAAAGGAACUAUUUGAGUAAUUUAAAUGAAAGAUUUGAGGGUCUUCUAAAUCAAGGGCAUGAGAGUGGUGUUGUAGAGAAAGGUGAAUUUUAAAACGGGGAAUUUGAAAGAGACUUGUUGACUGAUGAGACAUGAGCAGUGAAGGAACUGAGGUGAGUAACAGAGGCAGGCAGGAGUUAAGAAUAAGGCUUAGCUUGGUUUCUAGGUUGGAUGAUUUUUGAAUGGAGGUGCAGUUUCAUUGGAAAACAGGUGUAAGCAUAUCUUUUGUGGAAGAUGAUGAAUUCAUUUUGGACUUGUACAAUCUGAGAUGAGGAUGAAAAAGUGUGUCUUCAGCCCAGAAGAGAAUCUAAGGUGUAGGAAAAGAUUAAUGAUUUAUCGUCUUAUGGUGAUGGCUGAGGUCAUGGGUAUGGUUAUGAUCACAGGGGAAGUUUCUAAAGAAGUCCCCAGGUACAUCAACAUUUAAGAGGAAGAGAGGAAAAAGCUGUCAAGGAGUAUGAGAUGGAGUGGUCGGAGAGAAAGGAGUAGAAAAAAGCCAUUACAGAAAACAAGUAUGGAGAAUUUCACCAUAGUGUAUGUAGUCAACAUUAUUAAAUUAGCUAAAGACUGAUGGUUGUAACUGAAGACAUUGGUGACGUUGAUGAAUGUAGGGUGGUAGCCAGGAUGGUGGCUGUGUUAUAUUUGGGCUGGUGAGUGAAUGAGGAACAAGGAAACAUGACUUUAAGAAACAUGACUUUUAAUAAGUAAAAGGGAGAAGCAUAAAGUAGAAAUCAAUCUCUAAAUGCUAUUCACUCAACAUAGAAAGCCAUUUUUCUCCCUUUGAACCCCACUCCCUCACUGCCUCUUCAUCCUCGUCUUCUCCCUUACCUCUCCAUCCCAUGUAGCGUUGAGUUUUAAACAUCUCUCAAACAUGCCCUUUGCUUUCUACUUUUCUAAUAAACUCUAAAUGGACUUAGAAAGAGCGGCACCUAGGUGGCUCAGUUGGAUAAACAUCCGACUCUUGAUUUUGGCUCAGGUCAUGAGCUCAUGGUUUGUGGAACUGAGCCCUGCAUCAGGCUCUGCGCUGACAGUGCAGAGCCUGCUUGGGAUUCUUUCUCUCUCCCUCUCUCUGCCCCUCUCCCACUCGUGCUUUCUCUCUGUCUCUCAAAAUACAUAAAAUUUAAAAAAAUAGAAAAAAGAAAAACCCCACACAAUCUAAAAGGAAAAUGUAGGAAAUAACUGAUAUUAAGAUGGGUAAGAAGAUUUUGAGCAGAAAUUUAUUUUAUUUUAUUUUUUUCAACGUUUAUUUAUUUUUGGGACAGAGAGAGACAGAGCAUGAACGGGGGAGGGGCAGAGAGAGAGGGAGACACAGAAUCGGAAACAGGCUCCAGGCUCUGAGCCAUCAGCCCAGAGCCUGACGUGGGGCUCGAACUCCCGGACCGCGAGAUCGUGACCUGGCUGAAGUUGGACGCUUAACCGACUGCGCCACCCAGGCGCCCCGAGCAGAAAUUUAAAAAGCAACAAUUACCCACCAUGUUGUCAUAGAUUAAUAUAUUUGCAUAAAGUAAAGAAAACAAGCACAAUUAAAAAAAGAAUGACAACUAGGUCAGUGUUGAGGCACAUAAAAAAUUAAUAUUAUAUUAAACAUUCUUAAAUAUCAAUAAGGAAGCUAAUAGUACCUUUAUUUCAAAGGUCAGAAACAGAUUGUUUUUUUUUUUUUAGAACUAUUAGUGGCCGGCAAAGAUGAAAAUAUAUGCCACUUGGGGCGCAGGGGUGGCUCAGUUGGUUAAGCGUCUGACUUCAGCUCUGGCAAUGAUCUCAGAGUCGAUGGAUUCAAGCCUCGUGUUUGGCUCUGUGCUGACAGCUCAGAGCCUAGAGCCUGCUUUGGAUUCUGUGUCUCCCUCUCUCUCUGCCCUUCCCUGCUUGCACUCUGUCUCCCUCUCAAAAAUAAAAUAAAAACAUAAAAAAAAGAAAAAAGAAAAUAUAUGCCACUUGUGACUAAAAAUGUAAAUUUCAAAAAUGAGAUAACUGUCAUGUGUUACUAAUAAGAAUGGUGCUGAUUAAAAAUAAAUUGUAUUUAGUGUUGAGAUGGUGCAGCACAAGUCUAAAAAUGGAUUGCUCUUUUAGGAAAGCAGUUUGGGAAUGUCUAUUGAGACUCUUCAAAGUAUGCAUAUUCUCUGACUAAUUCCAGAAACCCUUACUUUGGAGUUCCAUACCAAAGGGUGUAAGGACAUUUUUCUCAGUGCCAGCCAUAUGAUAAGAAAAUACUGAGAAUAAUAUUAAUGAAACAGGAAUAUAGUUGAACAAGCUAUGGUUUAUCCAUGGGAUGAAUGUUACAGAUUUAUUAAAAUUGUUAAAAGAAUAGUUGACAGCAUUUCUAUGGAUACAACAUUAAAUGAAAAACUCAUUAUGCAAGCCUACAGGUGUUUUUACUUGCCCAGCUUUGUGGAAAGAAAAAAAAUCGACAACAUGUACAUCUAGGUAUAAGGGAAAAAAUGUAUAAAAUGUGACUUUUUGAUUUAUAUAUUCUUCCUAAUAAUUUCCUCAUUUCCUAUGUACAGAUAUCAUUUAUAGUAAUUAAAAGCUUUAUUGUAGUUAGAUGUAUCUAAUACAUGUCAUAGUAAAUCUUCCAAUUCUUGCUAAAUUGUUUUAAGUAAGAAAGCCCAUGUUUGCUCAUAAAUUUGAUUUUUAAAAUAUCAUAGUACUUUACUUUGACUUGGUUCCUUAAUCAUGCACAUUUGUGUUUGGGGAGCUGCUGUCCUUAGUGAUCGUGGCUACCUACUCAGGUUUGUAAACUGAGAUAGUUUUAAAACCAGGAAACCCUACUUACAUAGAUUAGGUUAUUCUGCAGAUUAGUUCCGUCCCUCACAUGUAUGGCCUAUAUGAUUUAUUGCUCUCAUCAUAAAAGUGAAAGCAGCAUUAUAUUGAGAUAUUCAGAUUAUUUAAUCUUCCUAUGUUAAUUGGUUAGUGAUACUGAGACUAACAAUGGAAAUCCUGCUUAUUUUCUCUCCCUCCUUUUGGUAUUAGCUUUACAAAAGAUUGCUGUCAUUCUUUUUGAAAUCUUUUUGGAUGUGAGCCAGUCAGAAGAAAGAUCAUCCACAUUCCAUCUUUCUGGGUAAUGAUAAAGUACUCCAGUUUUUCUCACACAAUCCUUAAUAUUUUCCCUGACAGAAGUAGUCCCCUUUGAAUUCAAAGGCACAUUCAUUACGUACCUCCCUCCUUUCUCCCUUUCUUUGUAACCUCUGGUUAGCAUUUUGUUGUGUCCUUUUGGUGAUGUCCCAAGACCACUCCUGUCCAUCCUGCUUAAGACAGACUGAUCUGCCAGUUGGAUGGGAAAAAGUAACUGCUGGAAUGUUUGAAAAGGAAUGUGAAAAGUGAAGGGUUAUAUUAUAAAUGUGUAGUCCUUAAUCAUGAGGUAGACGUUAUUUAAAGGAGUGUGUGGAUUCCCCAAUAGCCUCAAUUUUAAACUAGCAUCUCCUCAGAAAGGCUCUCCCAGAUGUCCCCUCUAUAGUGGCUGUCCACCCCAGAGAUUUCCCCCAUCACAUUACUCUGUUUUACUGUCCUCAUUGCCCUUGAACUGUCUGUAGGUUGCUUGUUAAUUUGUUUAGUGCCCUUCUUGCCCAGGAGAAGGCAAGCUUCAUGAGCUUAAGGACCAUGUCUGGCUUGUUCACAUCUGCCAGCCUCGUGGCUAGAACCAUGCCUGAUGCUAAGCAGGCACUCAGAUGAUUAAAUGGAUUUUUUGCCCCCCAGCAUCACUGCUGUUAGCAAUUUCUUUGAAGAAGAAUGAUAUCUUGCUGGUUUGUGUUGUAUAUAGAAAUUGCUAGUCAUGAAAACUGCUAGAUUGGACUGUUGCCUUUUGUAUACCUACACCCCAAUUUGUUGACUGCCCCUGCACCCCCAAAAGAUUUGUUCUGUUUAUGAGUUAAUUUCCAAAAUGACCACUGAUAUCACGUACUGGUGUUCUUCACAUUUCUACUUUGUGUCCUCAUUUCUUUUGAAUAACCUGGUGAUACUUUUUUUUUUUUUUUUAAUCCUCAUAAUUCUCUAGUGAGGCUAAAAAAGACAUUUUCUUUUAUAUAGUUACCGGUGAAGUUUCCUAGAAUGAAUAGACUCCUUAAUGAGUAAUAUAAAUUCUUUAUAGAAAAGCAUUACUUUCUUUUGAAAGUUACAGUGACUUCCUAUAAGUUGAAUUGUGUUCCCUUAAAAAAUAAAACUAAAAAAAAAAAAAAGUUUGAGUGAUUUCUUUGAUUUGGUACCUUUAAGUUAUAUUUUAACACCUAAAGAGUUGUAGUUUACUUUCAGAGCAAUUCUUGAAGAUCUGGCUGUAGCCUCAAAGAAAAUUAUAAUUGAUUGAAAAUAUUUCAUUUCCUUAUUUGGUGUGAAAUAGUUUUUCUUUUAAAAUAUGUAUAAUCUUAAGAUUUUUCAAACUAAAAUAAAAUUAUUUAAAAUUUUGUAAGUGAGAGACAGCAGAGAAUCUAUCCAUGACCUGGCCAACUCUCUCGGCCACCUUGUAACAUCAGAGGCAAAUGUGGAGAAGCAUAUUAAAUUUGUCAAGAAAUUUUAGGUAUGUUUUGUCAGCAUUGUAUUCACAAACAAUAAGGGGCUGGGCUGGCUCUUGGAGACAGAACGAAAUUUCUCAGCUAGUUCGUCAUGCUUCUUGGUGGGCAGUAAAGUUGCUGUUGUUGAAAGCUCAUUUUAUUUUGGUAAUUGAGUGUAAUUAAAUUUACAGCUCAAAUUAGUUUAUGCUUUGUUACAAGGGCCAUCAUCUCUUUUCAUAAAUGAGUUCACAGCUCACCAAAACAUUCUUGAGUUUAAAAUAGACAUUAAAAUGAAGAUUAACUACUGCUAAUGAAUUUUCUGCUCAGUUUGAAUCCAAACACUUGUGAAAAUUAAGACGAGUUAAAAUCAACACUUACCUCAAAAACAAGCAGUUGAAAAUUAAAGUUAUAGGCAGAAAUCAUCUAGUUUAUAAUUGUUUUGAUUUUUAAAUCUAUCAAAAUUAAUGAAAGUGUUAGAGAUGUUUUAAUUUGCAGAAUGUCUGAAAAUUUGCAUUUGGGGAAAUGUUGAAUAUUUGAUUAUUUUCUUUCAAGUGACAUUAAAGAAGGUACUUUAUUUUUUAUUCUUGAUCUACUUGAAGAGACACACUUUUCUGUUUUAAUCCUUUAAAGGACCAUAUAAUGAUAUUUACUAUUUAAGGUAGUUAAAGGUAGUUAAGGUAGUUUUAUAUUACACGAAUUUUCUUUAUCAAAAUUAUUAGGUGAGAAGUAGAAUUCAUAACUAUUCUCGUAAGAAGGUCUAAAUAUUUAUGUUUUAAGAAGUGCCUUGAGAUGACUAACAUUUCAAAAUCCAUAUCCUUAUUUAUAUCAUCCACAAUUAUAGUUGUAUCAUUGUUUAAAACAAGUCCUGAUUAUUUCCUUUCUUUUGGUAGGAUUAUUUUACCCUCUUAAUAAUUACAUUUCUGCAUUUCUUCACUGCACCAAUUUUAUAUUCCUAGCUUAGAAUACAGAUGUUAUAAAAUACUCUCUGUGCCUGUUUUUUUUUUUUUUUUUAAUUAAGAUUUUCUUUUUAAGUAAUCUCUACACCCAAUGUGGGGCUCGAAGUCAUAACCCUGAGAUCAAGAGUUGCAUGUUUGACCGACUAAACCAGCCAGGUGCUCCCUACCCCACCCCAUGCCUGUGUUUUGAGUACUUUCUGGAUCAAAAAGACAUAACCUUGGUUUUCCCUGAGAUGGCUUAUAUUUGUAGGUUUUCUAGCACCAUUUUUCUUCUUUAUUCCUUUAAAAAUACCAAUGGUUAGCUCUAUAUUAGCAGUUAAAGAAACUGAAACUUAGCCUUACCUUUACAACUCAUUACUGAAGAGUCUCCUUCCUCUGCACCCCAACAAUAAAUUUAUGCUUUAUUUUUCUAACCGUGAAAUUUCUGGGCAUCGAUUUCUACCUACGAGUGCAUAGCACACAAAAUUGAAUGUAUUUUGUGAAUAAUAUUCCAGCAUCACACAGUCCUGUGUUAUUAAAACCAGCUUUCCUAUGGCAGUUCCAAAAACAUAGUUCAGGUACAUUAAAAUAAUGAAGUAUUAUACAAAUACUGAUAAAAUAGUCUUUUAAUGUGAGGGAAUGUUUUAUUAUGUAUGCAGCUAUCAAUUUACCUAAUAAAUUAAGUACAGUAUCCAUUUUAAUAAAACCCAUGUAUUUUACAAAACUAGGACCUUGACUAACCUAUAUUUAGAGUCACAAGAGCCACAGUAGUGUGGUUGAAGCUAAAGGUUCCUAUUAGUGAGCAGGCCAGAUUCCUUUUGUUAGCCCACCAGAGAUCAAGAGUAUCUUUUUUUUCCCUCCUUUCUUGCCAUCUUGCCUCCCUCCCUUUCUUUUCCCCUUGCCUUUCCUGACACUUUUCUUUAUGCUAGCCUCAGCAAACAUAUGGAUCUUUGCAGCAAAACUAUAAUUCUCUUCUCACCUUGGACAGUCUAGCAUUAUUCAGGGUAGUUUGUGCUUAUGAAAGCCUUCUCCCUCCCAGUAGGCAAAAAUUGGAAGUAUCCUGUAAUAUUGGUUGAAGGUAGAGGGAUAAGGUAGAUGUAGGCAAAGCUUUUCUUUUUCACAUGGUUGAUCAAAGGUGAUCUUUUUAAAAUGUAUGGAAUUAAUACCAUUUGUGACACAUUUUUAAAGGGAAUCAUUUAUCAGUACGAAGUAUGUGCGUGUAUAUUUUUUACUGGUGAUUUUUUUAAUGGAAUAAGGGAAUGGGGUGUUAUGUGGGAUGCUUCUGUCUACACUGUUAAUUUCCUCCAACAGUAGUUUUAAUGAUGCUGUUAGAGGAUAAUUUACUGAAGUUGAAACUAGAGGGAUCAUUAGGGCACAUAAUUAAGAAAGACAUUCCUUUCCAAAUCUGAAAUAAAUAAAAGAACAAGCAGAAGUCCAUAAAACGUUUUUUUAUUUUGCCUAAGAGAAGACCCAAUUUUCAAUUUUUUUCCAUCACAACAAACAUCCUCAAAAAAAAAUUCUCAUGUUCAUUUAGUGGUUAUCCUAUUUGAAGAAAUUUGCUAAGCCCUUGAAAAGUUCAUUUUGAAUGACUUUUCUUACUACUUGCCUUGUCACUCAAAAUUGGGACAGAAUAUUAUUUGUUCAUUCAUGAAGAUGCAUUUAGUUUAAUAAUAUAAAGCAGAGUUGUCUCUAACAUCAUUAUUGUGUUACCUCUAUUAAAAAAAUUCUUUUAGAACCAAGGCUUAGUUCACUUGCUUCCAGCUAAUGAGUUUGCUUUCCUCAGGGACAAACAAUCUUUAAAUAAUGUUUUCUGAGAGGCUAGAAUUCCAUGUUAUACAAAUAGAGAUGCUUCCCUUGAGUUACAGGGAAGGAUGGGUGGGCUUAUCAAGUGGAUACUAGUUUGUCUGUUGAAAGUCUUUUGCCUCACAACUGCAAAGCCAACAGUCUCUCUACUGUCUAGAACAUUUUAAAAUUGAUAACUAUUUCAUAGAUGAAAUCUAAAGUCCUUUGUUUUUAGUGACUUAUUUUAUUCUUUAGUGUCGUAGAGUUAAAGUAUGAUCACCUAUAAUAUUUAUCUUUUCAUAUUCUUUGCAAGUCAAGCAUUUUAAAGGUGAUUUCCUCUUUGCUUUGGUUUUCAUGAAGACUUGGGUCAUCUGUAUGUCAAAUAGAACUGACAUCUAUAUUAGGAUACAUUUAUCUCAAGAAUAGACGUUCACAAAUUUUAUAGUAACUGACCGUAGUCUCAGCUUCCAUCUCAGGCUAAAGAGAGGUGAACUGGUAGAAAGUAAAGAAAUUGGUUCAGCUAUUUAAAAAGUUAUUCCCUUUCCCACCUAUUCUCAUGUCCAGUUGCCUGAAUAGGAAGCCUGUCAUAGGGACAGUGAGAACUUGACCUAGUAGUGUAACAAAGGUGAUCGUAUAUUUUAUCUUCCAAAUUUGGACAGUAGGCAUAAAUUGGGGUCAUUCCAUGACAACCAGGAUGUGUAAUUACUGACUUGGGCUACUUUAGGGAAUAUGUCAACUACCAUGUUAUGCAAUUAAUCUUAAAGAUUAGUAACAGUGGAAUUAGAACUAUGGAGGAAAGAUUCUUAGUAAAUCAAAUUUAGAUUUCUUAAAUGUCCAAGAACUAAAAGAACAAACAUGAAAUAACUCAAGAGCAUAAGUGCCAUUUCUUCUUUCAGUUAUGUCUUUUAAAUGUAAAAGAAGAAUUUAAGAUGGGCUGUUUUUGCCUAGUGGCUUGCCGCUGCUUGUUCUCAUGUGUAAUUUAUUUUUAGUUAUUGGCAAACUACCUGGGAAUCGUUGAAUGACUUGUUUGUUGUGCUGGACAUUAAUCCUUAAUAGUUUUAAAAUGUCAACAAGUUCUAAAUGUAUUUAAAAUAACUUUAAAAUCUCCCCUAAAGUGAAUGUUUGGUUGUUUGUACUAUGUACAAAAUGAAGAUGAAAAUAUAAUUAUAUGACAAUAUGACGCAAUAUGGCUUUUACUUCUUAGCUGCUCUACCAUUCUGUGAAUGACAAAGUGACCCUUUUUAUUAGUGACAGCUUUUAAUUUUUAGAAAUUUGACUUUUUGAAAUAACUGCUGAAGGGGGAAAUUUUAUUGUUCCUGAAUGGUAAAUUAAGAAUCUGGGGAGAUUCAUUAACCGUUUCAGUGAUUUUAGUCCUUCAGUAAACUUUAUUUUCAUUGCAUUGAAUCAAAUUAUUGGGAGGCCUGAAAUGAUUCUAUAACGAUUAUUUAAUUGCUUACUGACUUUGGGGUGUAUGUUUCUGAAAAAUGCCUUGAUGAGAAAGACCCACUUGGCAAGAUCAAGAUCUCAUAGAUAAUAGGGAUGUAGGAGCGAAUGCGACAUUAAAAAUACUUUAACUAUGUACUUAAAGUAAGGUAAGUCAGGAUACUACUUCCAAAAGAAAGUGGAAAAUGGACUUGCCUCUUGCAUAGGCACCCCUUCUCCUGAGUGAUCUUUAUUUCGCACAGUGGUGCAGAACCACAUGCACCAUCAGGUAUAUUCUCUCACAGCUUUUGUGUUAUACAGACUAUACUUCAUCUUUUAAACAUUAGCUUUUAAACUUCAUCUUCUUUUAAGAUUUUAAAACUUUUUUUUUUUUGCAUUACAAGCUAUUUGUGUGUGUGUGUGUGUGUGUGGUUUUCCUUAAAUCUGGGCAAAAUACAUAUGAAACUGCCCAGCCUUGUCACACAUUGUCCUGGGGCUUAUGGCUGUGGUUUUCAUUGCCUGGUCUUGGUUCCUGUAUGCAGUGUCGAAUAGGCAGUGUUUAGAAGCCGGAGGUUUAGAAAGCAGGAGUGGUUAAGCGUCCUUUUGUUUAAGGGGACAGAAUGUAACUGUGCACAUAUAUAAAUAGCUGUCACAUUUUAAAACUCUGGUGGACAAACGUGAAGCUGUUUUCAGCAAAAGCGAUUGGUAAAACGCUCAUUGCUAGAUGGUUACUGAAGGGCCAAUCUGUGUAUUUCUAGAACUUUUAAAUAUCUUAUUUUUGUGUGUGGGAGAAGAGGAGUUUCUUUGAAUUAUUUUUUUUAUGUUGCUAGUAAGGUAUUUUAGAUAAUAUGGUCACAUUUAAAAUUUUACUGCAGAGUGCAAAAUUCAAGCGAAAUAUAGCCACCUUUUUAUUGAUUCCAUAGCUCUUUAAGGGUUGUACACAGUACAAAGUUGGAUUUCUCCCUCUGAAAAGGUAGGAUUGUCAAUUAUAUAAGGUGGUGAAGUAAUUAUCAAAUUGGACUGAUUAACUGCAAAAAUAUCAAGGAAUGAACAAAAUGCAAUGAUAAAAAUAAAUGUUAAAAUAGUGGUCAUUUGUAAUCUUAAGUGAUAAAUAACUAACAGAUCAUUUGUCACUUGGUAUAGUUGGCCAGUUCCCAUAGCAUCUUGAUUUGCUGUACUAGAUAAUUUAGUUAAAUAUAUUUAGGGUUGACAGAUACUAUCUCACAUGCUAGUACUUCUAUUUAAUAAAGAGUUCUUUUUAGAGUUUUCAGAGAAAACUUUGGAUGCUAGAAAGAUAGGAUCAAAGGGGACUUCUGCUUUAAAUUAUAGUUAUAUUUCUUUUUUGAGAUAUUUAUAUAUAGUCACUUUUGGGUAAAAUCAUUUAGAGAAGGUUAUCUUUCAAGUUUAGAAAGAUUCAAGAGAAUUAUUCUAAAACUUUAGUAGAUGUUUGUUUUUUCUAGGGAGAGGAACUGUAUGUAUGAGUGAUUUUUAAUUCUUUAUCGAAGGCCUUAUUGAUUCCAAAAUUUCCAACUGCUUGCUUCAUAUCUCCAUUUGGCUCUCUGAAAGCUCUUUAGGAAAAAAAAAAAAUGUCCAAACCCACUGUUAUUUUCUCAGUGUUCCCUACCUCAGGCCAAAAGCUUGGGAGGCCUCAUGAAUGCCUGUUUUCCCUGUGUGCUGUGUUCAGUCCACCAGGAGGUGCACUGCUCUAGAAAUAUAUCUCUAAUCUGACCACUUAGCACCUCUACUACCUAAGUCAAAGCCAGCAUCUUUCUUCCCUGAACUAUCAACUUCUCACAAGUUUUUCCUGCAACGUAGCUGGAAUAUCCUUUAAAAUGUACAAAUUAGAUCCUGUAUUUCCUUGUCCCAGUUCAGUCCCCCACUCUCACCAUGAAACCCUAACUCCUUACUAUAGCCUGAGCAGUUCUACUUCUUAAUCUUAUUUUCAAAUUCUCUCUGCCCUCUUCACUCUUUUCUAGCCUCAGGGACCUUUUUGCUCCUUGAAUGAAUGUAUUUGUGGUAAAAAAAAAAAAAAAAAAAAUUAAACAUAAGGCAAGAAGCAGAUACUUCUGAUGAUAGCUUCAGAAUAUCUUAGUAAUUAGACAAAACUAGAAGAUUUGAUCCAGAUAAUGCAAAAAUGCCCUAGAUAAGUAACUUAAGUUUCUUAGGGUGUGGUGUUAUUUUUCAUCUUUCUCAUAAUGCCAUAUUUUGAAUAACACAAGUUGCAACAUAUAGUUAAUGCCGAUUUAGGUAAUUAUGAAAGUUGCUCUGAAAAAUUCUUUUAGUUUCCUAGAUAAAUGUUACAUUUGGUUGUAUGUAAUUCAAAAUUUUAUGUAAUUUUAAUCACUAACUCAGUUACCAAAAAUUCAAUGUAGGACUUUCUUUUUUUAAAAAAAAAUUGUUCCACAUAGACUUUUUAUUUAUCUCCUUGUAACUUAACUAAAUGAUGAUGAGAAUUGUUCUCCAUUACACUGUUAAUAAUGUUAUAAACGUAAUUAUGUAAUUGAAGUUUCAGAAGGGAAGGAGAAGGAUAGGAAAUUCAAAGACAUAGAUAGAAUUUAUAGACAGACAGUAGCCAGAGGAAAAAAAGAGGAAAAUUACAUACAUAUAGGGAACAGCACUCAAAGUUGUCUUAUUUCUCAUUAGGAAUAAUGGAAGUCAGGAGACAAUGGAGUGACAUCUUUCUAGGGCUGGAAGUAAAAAAAAUACCAACCCAGAAAUCUACAUUCAGUCAAACUAGCCUUCAAAAAUGGAGGGAAAAAUAAAAAAUUUUUCAGAUGAGCAAAAAUGAGAGAAUUCACUGCCAUUAGACCUGUGCUACAGGAAAUACUAAAGGAAAUUCUUCAUGCUGAGGGGAAACAACACCAGAUGGUAACUUAGAUCUAUAACUAAAAACUGCAGAACACACAUUCUUUUCAAGUGCACAGAGAAUGUUGGCCAAGAUAGACCAUAUGUUGUUAUACCAUAAACAAGUUUUAAUAAGAUUCAAACGUUUGAAAUCUUACAUAAUGUGUUGUCUAACCACAAUGGAAUUAAAUGAGGUAUCAAUAAGGUACCUAAAAAAUAUUCAAAUGUUUGGAAAUUAAAAGGAAGAUUCUAAAUAAUAAUAGGUCAAAGAAGAAAUAACAUGGAAUUUAUAAAAUCUUAUAUUUAAUUUUUUUAAUGUUUAAUUAUUUUUGAGAGACAGAGACAGCAUGAGCAGGAGAGGGAAGAGAGAGAGAGAGAGAGCGAGUGAGAGAAAGACCCAGAAUAUGAAGCAGACUCCAGGCUCUUUGCUGUCAGCACAGAGCCGAAGCGGGGCUCGAACUCAUGAACUGUGAGAUCAUGACCUGAGCCAAAGUCACGUGCUCAACCGACUGAGCCACCCAGGCGCCCCUGGAAUUUAUAAAAUCUUAUGAAUUGAAUAUUAAUGACCAUGCAGAAUAAAAUAUAUGCAGAGAAGCUAAAACAGUAUUUAGAGGAAUAUGCAUAACUGUAUUUGCUCAUUUUAGAAAGAAAAAAAAAAAACCUUAAAACAAUGUUUAAAGUUUCCACCUUAAGUAGGGAAAGAAAAAUAUACCGGUAG